rnacentral:rRNA from 1 species
AGCAGCCGCGGUAAUUCCAGCUCCAAUAGCGUAUAUUAAAGUUGUUGCAGUUAAAAAGCUCGUAGUUGAAUUUCGAGACCGGUCUACUGGUCGUGCUUUUGUACGUACUGGUUUUAUUGGUUUCUCCUUUCUGACGAACUAUAAUGCCAUUAAUCUGGUGUUAUGGGGAAUCAGGACUGUUACUUUGAAAAAUUAGAGUGUUUAAAGCAGGCUCACGCUUGAAUACAUUAGCAUGGAAUAACGGAAUAGGACGUUUGAUUCUAUUUUGUUGGUUUCUAGGAUCGACGUAAUGAUUAAUAGGGAUAGUUGGGGGCAUUAGUAUUCAAUUGUCAGAGGUGAAAUUCUUGGAUUUAUUGAAGACUAACUACUGCGAAAGCAUUUGCCAAGGAUGUUUUCAUUAAUCAAGAACGAAAGUUAGGGGAUCGAAGACGAUCAGAUACCGUC